UCUUGGAGCUUUGGAUACUUGUCACGGGCUUUGGAUGCUUUGCUUAGUGGAGAAGAAAUGAUUCCACUUGUCUUUGGAGUCUUGUGGAGAUGCUUCACAUGCUUUGGAGUCUUUUGAUAAUGCCAACCGUCUUUUGAGAAAGUUGUCGGCCAUGCUUUGAAGGAAUCUUUUGCUUUUUUUGACUUUUCUUUUUCUUUUGUCUUUUGUCUUUUUC
rnacentral:lncRNA from 1 species